rnacentral:lncRNA from 1 species
GCCUUACAAAUCUCUAAGAAGAUCAGUUGGCGUUUUUGUCCGAAGAAGACUGUUUGUCUGUUUGUCUAAUUGGCAUAUUUCCACAGGUAAUAUUUGUUAUGCAUGCUUUCAUAUAUACAGUUGAACUUGUAUUAAGCGGUCACCCUUUCUUUUAAGCGAUCAUUUGGUAAAGUCCCGAAAAUUUCAUAAUGUAAAUGCUGUUGAAGUGACCUUUGUUAAACCGCUUUAAUACCUCUGUUGAGUCGACGCACAACCCCAAACAUAUUUUUUCAUUGUUGUGUAACUGUAUUAAACCUAGUAUUAAUACAGAUUCGUCUGUGUGCCUAUCGAUUCUGUAAGGGGACUAAGGGUGGAUUUUCUACUAGCUCAGACUCAUGACGGAUUUAAGACACGUGCGCUAUGGAAUGUCGCGUUUUGGCACCCAUGAAAAAAAGAAAAGGCUCCCCAUUCUUAUACCCUUUCGGUUCCGCGUUUAACGUCAAUAUAAGAAAGGUCUAUUGAGCCCAAUCGAACAUUUUUAAAUGUAAACUAAUACAUGUUUAAAAUAGAACUAUGGAAUAUUGUAUUAUUGUCAACAGUCGACCAUGAAUUAUCUCUCGAAUCGAUGACAUCUGGAGGCUGGAUUAACGUUAACUCGAAACAAGCUACGGAAGAAAAGACAAUCUGUUUGAAAUUUUAACCCAAAAAAGGCAAACACAAGCAGCCAAAUUUAUGUUGAAAUGGGGGAUUUGUUGUAAAAUGUAAAUUCAGGUGGCGUUAUCCCACCAGGUUGCCGAAACUCACAAACCUUUCAGCACUUGUAUAAUUGGAUCUGUACAGUAGACCCUGACUAGCCUGCGGGCAGCCCCAUACCACGUAAACGAGGGAAGGGUUAGGGUUAGGCUAACCCUGACUGGGUUGGUAUGCAAAUUGCCCAUUAUUAAUCAAUGUUUAUUUGAACUUUUGAGAGAUGGAUUCUCACUCUUCAGUUGAAUGAUAUUCAGAUACGAAACAAUGCAUUCUGAUCAGCAUGACCAUGAAACCAAAUAUUUGCUGCCGUAGCGAGCGAGCGUAAAGCGAGGCAGCAGACUAAUCUUUAUGUAUAUGUAUAUAUAUGAAAUCUCGAUCGUUUUGGCGUAUUUCGGCUUACCACAAUGCACUGCUUCCGGGCCAACAGGCUAUUCUUGCCUAAUAAACAGGCAUAAGGCAAACAAGCAGUGUGAUCAUCUUUCAUCUUUGGUUUUAUUUUAUGGAAAGCCAUAGCUGGCGUAAGUGAUCAAAUGGCAAUUUGUCGAUACGCAGUGGUUCGAACGUUAUACGCGGUGGUUUCGCUAUUAUACGCAGUGGUUCGAGCAUUAUACGUGGUGCUUUCGCCAUUAUACGCGGUGCGUUCGCCAUUAUACGCAGUGGUUCGAGCACUAUACGCGGUACUUUCGUCAUUAUACGGGGUGCUUUUAACAUAAUUUCCAUAUUCUUUCCAUGUAUAUAAUAUCACGAUUGCUUAAUAAAUCUGGUAGGCCGUAGGCCUAUGUGGCUGUGCUUUUUGCCUCUGGUCUGCAAUGACAAUGACAUGCUUUUAAAAAGGUUUAUUUAUAAAAAGGUGACUGCACUUUGUGAGUUCUUAUAUAUUAUCAUCAGUAUAGUGUUGAUUUAUUAGUAAUAAAUAUGUGUAUAUAACAUAGGUAUAUAAAUUAAUAUAACGCAGCGAAUGCGCGCCAAGCAGUAUAAACACGGCUGAAAUACGAUAUUAAAAUCUUGAAUGUACCGUAUGAUUUAAUUAUGUUUUAGGAUUUAAAGCCUUUAAAAAUGCUUUGUCAUUUGUAUUUGUACUUGUACUUGUACUGCAUCACAACGCAGUGCGUAAGUGAACAGAUUCCACAUGUGAGGUUGUUUUGUAUAUAUUUUUGCCUUCUUUGAUAAACAUUAUUAUUUAUUAAACACGCAAAUUUAGUGAGACGCACACUCGCACAUGUUAAAUGUCACCUGCAUGUCAUUGUCAUUGCCCUUUAACCCCUGGUCUAAAUCAUAUGAUUAUUUAAGCGGGGCCGUUUUGACCUAGCACCGUAUUUGUAGGCAAAUUGUCUAUACAAUUUUAUAUACUAGAUAUCACAGCCAUACCUGCCAUUUUGAUCUUUUCCUCGCGUUAGAUAAGUUGAUAAGUACACUCAUUCUUGUUAGCCAUCGUACCUGUUCGGCUGUUCCUCUUUCGAUACGAAACUUCGAGCGCCGAGUUAUCAUACGGCACAUUCAAGUGUAUAAAUUAUGGAUGAUUCCAACGGACCAUUCCCCGAUUAACCAAAAUUUUGAACUCAACAAAUCUAGACUUUGCAAUUUUCAGUCAUUUUAGAUUACAAACGGGAGAUGGUUACCACUUCUGUGCGUAAUACAAAUUACAAAAUGACUGAAAAUUACAAACUUCUUCGCAAGGCUAUAUUAUCCGCAUUUUUCAACGAAACUUUGGAAUAUCACUAAUUUUGUGAUGCUCUUUCAAGUUGUGAUAAAAUUUUUGCUUAGGCUAGUUAAAAUCAAAAUUUUGGAAAAGUGGUAACCAUUUCCCGUUUGUAAUCUAAAAUGACUGAAAAUUGCAAAUUUCGCAAGGCUAUAUUAUCCGCAUUUUACAACAUUUCGCAACGAAACUUUGGAAUAUUACUAAUUUGGCGAUGCUCUUUCAUGCUAUGAUGGAAUUUUGUCUAGACUUGUUGAGAUCAAAAUUUUGGUUAAUUGGGGAAUGGUGAUUACAAAUAUUUCUUACUCUUAUUCUUUAAAAUAUUAAAGGUGCUAUACCAAGGCAGCAUUCACUACCCUGUGAGUAAACUAGUAUCAGCUAAUUCAAUUAAGGUUGUCCUUUCAUAACGGUCAAAACCGCAAAACCUCGGCCUCUAAGCGCGAAAAGCACGAUGGAAUUGGAUUUGUAUAUAAUAUAUAAUUCAUACUUCCGACACGCCGGUGUGUCACAGAGUAUUUACAUACAGAGGUCUCACUUCUGCGAAAAAAACGUAAGGUAGUUUUUACUGCGCAUAUUUGGCGGCCAUGUUCUUAAACCUGGACUGCCUGGUUUCCAUAUGAUCGUAAAAAUAGACUCGCGAUCUUCCUCAACGGCCAGUUUAUACCUGUAAACCACAUAUAAAUCAUAAGUAUUCUCUAGUUAAAACCACUCCGCGUAAUUUCAAAAAUGUUGUAUUUUGGCUGAUGAGAAAGAUCGUGACUCAAUCUUUACGACCGUUACGACCAUAUGGAAACCAGGCUUUAGUAAGUUCCCUAAAGAGAAGAAUUCACCCCCUUGGAACAUUAAAUUUCAAUAUGUUUUCGGGGUGACGGCGUCUCAUUAGGGCACUUGCUAAGAACAUGGCCGACUGGGAAAUCCUUAUGCUACAUUAACCUGAAGUGAGACCUCUGUGUGUAAUUACUCUGUGCCAUAGUUACGGUUGCUACGUCCCACCAGCCGUUUGGGUAAAAAAGCGAUUUAUAAUUUACGAAUUCCCACGAGUUUCACCUAUUUCGUAUUAUAUUCGCCCGUCUAACGCAAUUCAGUAGAAAACCCGGCACAAUUUAUAGGAUUUUUAACUUAACGUUGCAGAAAGUUGUUGUGCAGUGAACAUACUUGUGAAUGCUUAACCUCACAGGAUCGAUUAGCAUAAUUAUUAGACAAAAACAUGAUCAGCAAAACAGCAUAACAAUUAGAUAGUGGCAUAGUGCUAACGUGCAUGCAAAAACAGUAUACCAAGUUAAUUUUAUUCUUUGAUAUAGCUUUUUGCAUCCAUCACAUCUCAACCAUCUCAAGAUGCUGAGCGGAAGAAUGGGACGGAGUUUGUGGUCCCUUGGUUUGAUCCUCAUGUUAUUCAUCGUAUGCGUCGAAUGCUGGAAGGAAGGCUACGAUAUGCCCCCUGAAGGCGAAAGGAUAACGGGGGCUUCUCCAGAGUUCAAAUCCAGAAGCUUGAUGCAAUUUUGUUUGGCCAGCAUCGUGAUGGCUUUAACCUUUUUACUGUAAACGCAACAUGAAAAUAUUAAGAUUAAUUUCUUAAAGUAAUAGUAUUGGUGAAAUAGGACAUAAUUAUGGUGACUAUAAUAAAUCAUUUGGUUGAUUCGAAACUUCUCGCAGGCUAAUUCGAGUAAUUUUGGGAUGAAUGUACGAUUACCUUUAGAAUAGUGUUGGUUUGUUGGUAUUAAAUAGGACAAAAUUAAUGUGGUUAUAAUGAUAAAAAAAUCGUUUAGUUCAUUUUUAGGACAAUACUUUUAGGAUGAAUUUUUGUCUUCUGGUUUCGGUCAAUUUCCACACUAAUGUUAAUCUAGAUUUAAUUGCAAUCCUUACUCCAAUCUUUCCUAACUCUAAUACUAACUAUAUCAACACGGAGUAUUAAAGAACAUACAGAGGUUUCACUUCAGGUUAAUUUAGCGUAAGGGAUUUUUUCAGUCACCAUGUUCUUGGCAAGUGCCAUAAAGAGAGGCACCCCCUUGAAAACAUAUUGAAAUUCAAUGUUCCAGGGGGGUAAAUGCCUCUCUUUAAGUUAAGGCACUUGCUAAAAACAUGGCCGCCUGAGCUAUUUUGGUAUAAAACUAUAAGCCUACCUUACGGUUUUCCCGCAGAAGUGAGACCUCUGUAUGUACUUACUCUGUGCCAUUAAAGUAAUUCGAAUCUUCUCUCUGUAAAAGUGCUUUUGAUCUUUCUAGCCUGAAAACAGACCUACGUUUCGACCCGCGAAUUUUAGGGCGGGCGAAACGUAGGUCUGUUUUCAGGCUAUGAUCUUUCUGUGGCUAUGAAAAUUAUGACUGGAUAGAGUAUCUUUUUUAAUUCAAUCGGCCAAUUUUGAAGGCAGAAUAUUUAUGAGAUGAAAUUUUAAAGUCUGCCAAAAUCUCUGCAAUCUAAUCCGCGACGUGUUUAAAUUAGCUACCUUAUCAAACAAUUGUCUUUUCCUAUGUAACUUGAAAGAUAUAGCUUUCCAUAUAUUCUUCUAAUAAGUUUUAGAGACUAAUGAAUUUUUGAACGUAUUAUGUUCUAGUGGCUCGCGGGCUAGAAUUAAGAGGAGGCGCAGUCAGGCAGGUUAGAAGCGAGCGACUGUGCGGUGUUGAUGGGGACAUCCUGGGACAAACGGAGAUAACUACGAGUUACUAAAAACAAAACCUUUGCGGAGGUAACGCGGCGGGCUGACCGUCUGCCAAGCAGGCUAUUGCGGAUCAGAGCCACAAGCGCGGAAGUUCCGGGUACGAGGUUGGCAAUCUCACUGGACAAUAACCUGCGUGUAGCGUCAACCCGAAUUUUUAAAAUAUCGUGUUGAGGCUACACGCAGGCUAACUGGACAAUUAGAACAAUUAGCCAUUCCGAAGUUGAUGAGAGGACUGGGGACGAGUGUUAAAAAGUGCCCAAAUUAAGAAAUGGACCAAAUCACUAAAAAGACCACCUCAAAAUUAGUAAGUAUACAAAGUUUGAAGACGUUUACAUGAAUACCCUUCGAAUAAUAAGCUUUCGAAAAUCGCGAUAUUUACCAGUAUGAAAUGUACUGUAAUUUUUGUUUUUGGGCCGCGCUUCCCAAAAACAAUCUUUAAAUCAGUAAUUUCACAAUUUUCGGAAGCAUAUUAUUCAAAAGGUAUUCAUGUAAACGUCGUCAAACUUCUUUACACUUACUAAUUUUGAGAUGCUCUUUUUAGUGAUUUGGUUCAUUUCUUAUUUUGGGCACUUUUUAACACUCGUCCCCAGUCCACUCAUCAACUUCGGAAUGGCUAAUUGCUAUCGAAAUAUCAUUGGUUAAUGCCCGAUUCUUAAAUGCGUGAUAUAUAGUAUUGCAAAAACAAAACAUAUUAAGGAGAUCAGUUCAUGUUUUUGUCCGAAGAAGACUUUCAUUGGAAUAUUUCCGCAGGUAAGAUUUUUUCUGCUCACAUAUAUUAUAUAUACGUUCUGCAUAAGGACUCAGUGCUUUACUCACACAGGAGCGGACACUCAAAUUUCACGUUUGCAUCUUUUGCAUUGAAACGGGACGCAUAUAAAACUGAACGUAUAUGAGCACAGCUCACUGUAUGAAUUUCCAUGUGAACAAAUGGAACCGGACGCAUUGCUGAGACCUUAUAGUUUCGGAUUUGUCCAGCUAAUCUUUGUAAUUUUUAUGUAAAUAUUAAUUAAGAAUUACGUUCAUUACCGAUUCUAUGAUCACAGUACAUCAUCAAGCAUUAUCUCAAAAAGCAAAGACCGCUUUUGACCAGAAAAUCGUGUCUUUAACUCGAGAAUGAUGUUUAAAUUGUCACUCACUUUGGUCAAUCACUUUAAAACGUCAAUAGUCAUGUAAAGUACAUGCACUGACUUGUUUGCCGUGUAAAAAUUGAAGUCCAAUAGCUAUAUCGAUUAUUUGGUUUAUGCUUAGUGAAUAGUUUAUUGCCAAUGUUAAAUUUUCUUAUGUUUUUUGUUUUAUAUAGACAUUUGGAGCCUUGCUGUUCACACGAACACCGUUCUUACUAAAUUUGUGCGCAGUUGAUCGCCGUAAGUAGUAUACAUUAGUCAUUAAACGUCAACAUUAGAUAUUGAAUAACUUAUAUAGACAAUGUUCAUAUCAUUUAAGUCCAGCUAUAAGAUUCGCGUCUCUGUCCUAAUGAUGCUAAUGCUAAUGCGCAAAUAUAGCUGGCGCCGGAGCCGUCCCGACCAUCAUGCAUUAUUUGCGCACUGCCACUAGUGCGGCAUUUUAAUGCGAUUUUUUUCGAGCCAAAGCGUAGCUAUCCUGAUGUGCACUGUUUAAGAAAUCGCGCGGUCUCAUUUCAAUGUGACUUGAUUCUGAUUAUGAGUUUUUUAUUGUAUGUUUACCAUACCAUACUAUAUUUAUAAUUUAAAAUUCAUACGUAUAGAUUACAUAAAUGCGGGGAAAUAUAUGUUACAACAUGUAUACAUAAACAAACAUAAACAUUAUCUCAGCAGAAGGAUGUUAAAUUUGUUGAUUUGUUCAAAAUAUAAAUUUUAGAGUGGGGAAGAGGAGUAAAAUAAGAGCGCCUCCUUGCAGUUGAGAGUCCUAUUAAAACCAUAACUCAAUACAAUAACUUACCCUUGACUACCCUUGUCCUUCCGUUUCAGGCUUAACCCAGUGUCAAGGGCAUGUAACCACCACCCGCGAUUCCUUUUGUUCGGGAAUAUAAUGAGCUUUAUCUGAGUGUUGAGUUGUUUGAACUUUCUCUAUAAAUCCACGACUUUCAUACUCGGUGAUGAUAUUACUAUAUGUCUGGAGCAGUUCCGGUGUUUGUUUGAGGCGACGUGCCAUCGAUCUUGUUCUCCUUUCGCAUACCGUGUAGUUAGAUUGGAGAGGUGGGUGUUCUGGUUUCCACGGAAAUCCUGCUAUGUAACUGCCAUUCGUGUCACGGCUGGUGAAUGAUUGUUGAUACUGUUCGAGAAAUUGUUUAUGAGGAUCAUUUUCAGUUGGUGGUGUUAUUCCCAAUGACUCUAGAGACCAAAAUCGUUGUAGGUCGUACUCAUCUGAGGAUAUCUGGAGAAAAUUUGCAAUCGAAUGUACUGGUUGGUCAGUUUUUAGCGGACCUGAUAGUAGAUAACCAACUUUGGAUUUCAUGGCAGUAGGCCCAUUUCCACGGAUGACUUGGUCUUCGAUGAUGUCCCAGUAUUGGUCGGCUCCAACGAGGAGGGAAAUUUCAAAACUUUCAUCAUUUGUUACAGGGUGUGCAAGUUGAAGGUUCUUCAGAUGUGGGAUGUUGUUGAUAUGGUGAUGUGAACGAAGUUGAAGUGGUGUUGCUAUUCGUUCAACAAUUAGUACGCGUAGUGGGAUUUCAUCAUUGGUAAUGGUCUUAAGGUUGAUGAUGGUGGACUCGAGGGACCUUGCAGCUGAAGUUUGAGCACCAAAGCCAGAUAUACUGAUAAAUUCUCUUUCUGUGGGUUGUAGUUGCAAGCGGGUUGCUAAAUCUUUGGUAAUGAAUGAUCUUUGUGCUCCUUCGUCAAAGAGAAUGUUUGCUUCACAGUAGGUGGUCUGAUUACCAACUGUUGCUAUGGCUGUUUUGAGCAAGGUUUCCGUGUGGGUGGGAUUAGUUAGGGGGGCAAUAGGGGUCAUAGUGGUGUGGACAACAGUACCCGAGGUGUUCCCAGUAACGUUUGCAGCUGGUGAGGGUAUUUCAGGUUUUGGCUGACCUUCAUUACAGAGACAGGUAUGGUGUUUUCCCUUACAUGAGCGACAGCGAAACUUUGACAGGCAUGCUGAGGAUUUGUGGUGACCCAAACAAUUGAAACAAAGUUUCUGUUCCUUUACAAUUGCCCAACGUUUUGAACAAUCUUUGAUUGUAGCACAUUCAUUAGAUGAAUUAAUUAAGAUUAAGCUUCACGUUUCCGGGAACGGCAAACGGCUGGUUCGAACUUUCUUGGCAAAAUUUUCGUUGAACGUUUUCGUUUCAUAUUUUCUUUCUUGCGUCGAAAGAGUAUAAUUAUGUAUUUCAGUUUUAAAACAGCAAGUUCACUAGCUUAUUCUUUAUUGCCCGAUACUGUAAAAAUUUUCUUUGCCUGGCGUGCCGUAUAUUUAAACUCUCUAAUGACAUCUAAUUGUUCAACGUAGGCUCUAAAAUGCCUUCUAUCUAUAGUCAUUUAUAUUCAGUUAAGAUCAUUGUGAAUAUUUUUAAAAUGCAAGCCAAUAAAUCAUUUUCUAUUUCAGUUUUAAAACAGCAAGUUCACUUAUUCUUUAUUGCCUGAUACUGUAAAAUGUUUCUUUGCUUGGCCUUUGCCGUUUGACCGAUAACGCGAAGCUUAAACUUUCUAAUGACACCUGAUUGUUCAACGUAGGCUCUAAAAUGCCUUCUAUCUUUAUAGUUUAUAUUCAGUUGGAUCAUUUUGAAUAUUGGGGUCCAAUCUGGGGUCCAUUUUAGUCAAAUAUGAAGAUGAAAAAUCGAUAACGUGAACUCGAAUCGGAGAAUUAGUGUACAUGCACCAUUUCAAUAAUUACGUCACGACAUACUUGGCCAGGAGCCUCGCUGUCAUGAUUCGAGACGAAAGGCUAUUCGCUCGCGAUUCAUGAAAACGAUACUCGCGGGCCAAGGACGAGUUUGUGACGUAAUUAUCUAAAGGGUGUAUUGAUUAUUUGAUCGUUUUAGUAUACAUUCCAUUCCAGGAUGCUUAGCAAGUCGUGGACAACCUUAAUUGAAAUAGCUGUAUGUAUAUGUUCUACAAUGUCAGGGCCGGCCGUAGAGUAGACACCGUUGGGUGGGGCUGUAAACUAGUGAUAAUCUUUAAAGUUUGAGAGGGAAAUAAUGACCUAAUAAUCGCCCCUGACUAAUUAGACCCCUUCCCCCCCUGAAUGUCACUCAACGAGUAUUCUUAGUGCGUACAGGGCCGGCUCUAAAGCGCGGGAAGGAGAGGGUGUAAAAUCAGAAGUUUAUUAUAAGUCUCGAAAAGUUAGAGAGCCCUCUGAUGUAAACAAUACUCAAAUUUCGCGUUGUUUUGACAUUUUCUAAAAUGUGAUCUUUUAUAUCUGCUGUCGCUUAGGUUAGGCCACAUUGUUACCAUAGCAACACACAAUUUGCUUCUUUCGAACUAUUAUGCUUGACUACGCAAGCGUUUCUACUUCCAAAAAAUCCACAUUUCACAUCAAUAGCAGAUAUUUUGCGCCAUUGUGACUGGUCAAUGCAUGAAGCAUAUAGCAUAUUAUGAAAAAGACUUCCUCAUACGCCCACAUGGGCCCAAACGUACAAGUCUCUUUUAUUCCCAGAUUAAUUGUAUUAUUUUAACAUCUUUAAUAACAUUCUCAUUUUGUUUAAGACACCACUAUUUGUAGUAAUGAUAGUAUUGAAUUCUAUAUUCAUAAAUAAUGGUUACCUGUGAUUUUGGUGGCUGCAAGAAUGGUGCACCCAUCAUUGACGUAAUCAUUUGCGCAACAAUUUAUUAUUUCAUAUCACCUAGCACAUGAACUUAAUUACCUCAUUUGCGUGAAAUCAUUGGCUGGUACAUGAAUGCAUGCUGUGAUAUAUAGCCUUACAAGUCUCUAAGAAGAUCAGUUGGCGUUUUUGUCCAAAGAAGACUGUUUGUCUGUUUGUGUAAUUGGCAUAUUUCCACAGGUAAUGUUUGUUAUGCAUGCUUUCAUAUAUACAGUUGAACUUGUAUUAAGCGGUCACCCUUUCUUUUAAGCGAUCAUUUGGCAAAGUCCCGAAAAUUUCAUAAUGUAAAUGCUAUUGAAGUGACCUUUGUUAAACCGCUUUAAUACCUCUGUUGAGUCGACGCACAACCCCAAACAUAUUUUUUCAUUGUUGUGUAACUGUAUUAAACCUAGUAUUAAGCGGGCACCAAGUGACCGCUUAAUACAGGUUCGUCUGUGUGCCUAUCGAUUCUGUAAGGGGACUAAUGGUGGAUUUUCCAGUUUUUCCACUAGCUCAGACUCAUGACGGAUUUUAAGACACGUGCGCUAUGGAAUGUCGCGUUUUGGCACCCAUGAAAAAAAGAAAAGGCUCCCCAUUCAUAUACCCUUUCGGUCCCGCGUUUAACGUCAAUAUAAGAAAGGUCUAUUGAACUCAAUCGAACAUUUUUAAAUGUAAACUAAUACACAUUUAAAUAUACAUGUAUUAUUGUCAACAGUCGACCUUGAAUUAUUUCUCGAAUCGAUGACAUCUGGAGGCUGGAUGUUAACUCGAAACAAGCUACGGAAGAAAAGACAAUCUGUUUGAAAUUUUAACCCCAAAAAGGCAAAGACAAGCAGCCAAAUUUAUGUUGAAAUGGGGGAUUUGUUGUAAAAUGUAAAUUCAGGUGGCGUUAUCCCACCAGGCUGCCGAAACUCACAAACCUUUCAGCUCUUGUAUAAUUGGAUCUGUACAGUAGACCCUGACUAGCCUGCGGGCAGUCCCAUACCACAUAAACGAGGGAAGGGUUAGGGUUAGGCUAACCCUGACUGGCUUGGUAUGCAAAUUGCCCAUUAUUAAUCAAUGUUUAUUUAAACUUUUGAGAGAUGGAUUCUCACUCUUCAGUUGAAUGAUAUUCAGAUACGAAACAUGAAACCAAUUAACCAAUUAACCAAAUAUUAUACAGCUAAUUCAAUUAAGAUUGUCCUUUCAUAAAGUGAAAACCCCAAAACCUCGGCCUCUCAGCGCGAAAAGCACGAUGGAAUUGGAUUUGCAUAUAAUAUAUAAUUGAUACUUCCGACACGCCGGUGUAGGUCUCAUUUCUGCGAAAAAAACGUAAGGUAGUUUUUACUGGGCAUAUAUUCCUGCCAUGCAUGCUCUUAAACCUGGAAUGCCUGGUUUUCAUAUGGUCGUAAAAAUAGACUCACGAUCUUUCUCAACGGCCAGUUUAUACCUGUAAACCACAUAUAAAUCAUAAGUAUUCUCUAGUUAAAAUCACUCCGCGUAUUUUCAAAAAUGUUGUAUUUUGGCUGAUGAGAAAGAUCGACUUUAGUAAGUGCCCCAAAGAGAAGAAUUCACCCCUUGGAACACUAAAUUUCAAUAUGUUUUCGGGGNNNNNNNNNNNNNNNNNNNNNNNNNNNGGGUGUCGGCGUCUCAUUAGGGCACUUGCUACGAACAUGGCCGACUGGGAAAAUCCCUUAUGCUAAAUUAGCUUUUCUCACGCCGCCAUUUUUGGGUGGCAUUUCAGCCGAAGUCUGCGAGAUAAGUCCACAUAACAGCGACUUUUUAUAAUUUUUUUGACGAAUGAUGGUAAAUUUGCUUUGUAAAUGGUUAGUUUAUUUUGAAAAAUUGCUGUUCACAUUGUUUUAAUUGUCUGCAUUGGUAAACGAGAAUUAGAUGCCACCCAAAAAUGGCGGAUAUUCGUCAUCGUGAGAAAGGCUAAUUAACCUGAAGUGAGACCUCUGUAUGUAAUUACUCUGUGCCGUAGUUACGGUUGCUACGUCCCACCAGCCGUUUGGGUAAAAAAGCGAUUUAUAAUUUACGAAUUCCCACGAGUUUCACCUAUUUCGUAUUAUAUUCGCCCGUCUAACGCAAUUCAGUAGAAAACCCGGCAUAAUUUAUAGGAUUUUUAAACGUUUUAACGUUGCAGAAAGUUGUUGUGCAGUGAACAUACAUGUCAAUGGUUAACCUUACAGGAUCGAUUAGCAUAAUUAUUAGACAAAAACUUGAUCAGCAAAACAUAACAAUUAGAUAGUGUUGACAUGCAUACAAAAACAGUCUGAUAAUAAUAAUAUGCCCAUUGUGCUUUUCGCGCUUAGAGCUCGAUGUUUUUGACAUUCAGACGACAACCUCAACUGAAUUUCCCUAUAUUUCUCAAAAGUGAAAAAAAAACCUGAAAAUAACAUUGAAAUGGUAAUUUGCAAUUUGCAUACCAAGUUAAUUUUAUUCUUUGAUAGUUCUUAGUAUCCAUCAUAUCUCAACCACCUCAAGAUGCUUAGCGGAAGAAUGGGACGGAGUUUGUGGUUCCUGGGUUUGAUCCUCAUGUUAUUCAUCGUAUGCGUCGAAUGCUGGCAGGACUACGAUAUGGCCCCUGAAGGCAAACCGAUGAAAUCAGCUUCUCCAGAGUUCAAAUCCAGAAGCUUGAUGCAAUUUUGUUUGGCCAGCAUCGUAACGGCUUUAACCUUUUUACUGUAAACGCAACAUGAAAAUAUUAAGAUUAAUUUCUUAAAGACAUAGUAUUGGUGAAAUAGGACAUAAUUAUGAUGACUAUAAUAAGUCAUUUGGUUGAUUCGAAUUAUAAUUUUGGGAUGAAUGUACGAUUACCUUUAGAAUAGUGUUGGUAUUAAAUGGGACAAAAUUAAUGUGGCUAUAUAAUAAUGAUCAUAAUAAU